ACGAGAUAAGUUGGGCAGUCAAAAGGGAAAGAGCCCAGACCUUCAGUUAAGGUCCCAAAGUGUGCGUUAAGUGGAAAAGGAUGUGGGAUUUCGAAGACAACCAGGAUGUUGGCUCAGAAGCAGCCAUUCAUUCAAAGAGUGCGUAAUAGCUCACUGGUCGAGAGGUCCUGCGCCGAAAAUGUCCGGGGCUGAAACGCACCACCGAAACUAAGGGAUCCGAAAGGAUCGGUAGAGGAGCAUUGCAUGCGGGAUGAAGCAGUACCGUAAGGAGCUGUGGACUGCAUGGAAGAGAGAAUGCCGGAAUGAGUAGCGAGAUAGAGGUGAGAAUCCUCUAGGCCGAAUAUCCAAGGUUCCAGGGUAAAGCUGAUCUGCCCUGGGUAAGUCGGGCCGUAAGGUGAGGACGAGAGUCGUAGCCGAUGGACAACAGGUGGAGAUUCCUGUACUAUGAUAUGACAGAACUGUGGGGACACGUGCAGAGAGCGGAAGCCGGGAAUGGGAUCCCGGUGC
rnacentral:rRNA from 1 species